AAGCAGGUUAAGUUACAAUAUGGCAGCGUGGUGCUAUGUUGUCGUUCCCCCUGCUAAAAUUAACCUGUUUCCUGCUAUCCCUGACUGACUUCACUGUGGCAGGCAGGGACUCUUGGUCUCGUACAG